GUCCAGGAUGAUGGGGCUGCUGGGCCCGAGCAUCGGCCCAGCAGCCGCCAUCUUCGUGCCGCGGGAGGGACAGUCCCUGCUCCGCACACAGGGCCACGCCUCAGCCCGCUGGCGCGGCGCGCGGACAGGGCUUCACCCCUCCCGCCCGGGGGUCACCGGCCCAGCUCCCGGUGCUGUUCAUGGGUCAGCCCUGAGUCGGCGGCCGCCUGCCAGAGAGCGGUGCUGAGGGGCCCCCCGUGGCGUGAAACCCGCGGCCCCAGUGCUGAGGGGCGGCCCGGUCUUCACGGACCCACACUGCUCCCCGUGGCGUGAAACCCGCGGCCCCAGUGCUGGGCAUUGUCUCCACCCCGAAGUGGGGCCCAUGAAAGAGAGGACCUCGUCCACCUCGUCUUUCCAAUACCUAAGUUGUACCUAACUUGUGAACACUGGCAUCAUGAACCGACCGGUCAACGACACACAUCAUGGGGAACUAGGAGUACACAAUCAGGCAGCAGAGAUCCCCACCCUAAAAGCAAAUACUGUACAGUGCAGUGUUAAACUUAAGGGGAGGGGGGAGAUUUGACAAGGAAGAAGUUUAGAGAGACAGCAGAUGAAGAACUAGGAAAGCAAUCAGGCAUCAAUAUUUAUUAAUACAAGACAAAGGAAACACAAUCAAUGCGUUGAUGGAACACUGUCCAGCCAGGUGUUAAAUUUAAAAAUGUAUCUACUCUAAUUUCAAAUAAAUAAAAAACCUUUAUACAUAAUUACAUAA